UUAAAGAUAAGCUAAUAUAAGCUGAUGGGUUCAUACCCCAUCUAUGAUUUACUCUCUUUAAA
rnacentral:tRNA from 1 species